rnacentral:tRNA from 3 species
GGGCAGGUAGCGAAGUGGUUAAACGCAUCAGACUGUAAAUCUGACGGCUUAUGCCUUCGGAGGUUCGAAUCCUUCCCUGCCCA